GACGAACGCUGGCGGCGUGCUUAACACAUGCAAGUCGAACGGAAAGGCCUGCUUUCCCUUGUGGAUUGCGGGUACUCGAGUGGCGAACGGGUGAGUAACACGUGAGUGAUCUGCCCCCAACUUGGGUAUAAGCCUGGGAAACUGGGUCUAAUUCCCGAUAGGACUGCAGGGUGGUGCCUGUGGUGGAAAACGAUUUUCUAGUGGUUGGGGAUGAGCUCGCGGCCUAUCAGCUUGUUGGUGGGGUAAUGGCCUACCAAGGCGGCGACGGGUAGCCGGCCUGAGAGGGUGGACGGCCACAGUGGGACUGAGAUACGGCCCAGACUCCUACGGGAGGCAGCAGUGGGGAAUAUUGCACAAUGGGCGGAAGCCUGAUGCAGCGACGCCGCGGGGGGGAUGACGGCCUUCGGGUUGUAAACUCCUUUCGACCGCGAGGAAGCCACCUGGUUGGAAGGGUGGUGACGGUAGUGGUAGAAGAAGCACCGGCUAACUACGUG
rnacentral:rRNA from 1 species